GAGUCUCCAUUAUCACUGUAUAUUGAAGAAGUUACGCCUCAAAAUACAUGCUGUAGAGUGACGCGAAGACAUUGAUUUGAAAAGCAGAUAUGGAGAAACUGAAAGCCUCAUAUGCUACUGGUAGAAAUACGGAGUGGUGUGGCUGUUUUGAAAUGAAAAUGUUUGGAGACCCAAGAUGGAGAUACCAGUUGGCACUGGAUAUUUGUGGUGAAAAUUCUUGCUUGGAGAAUUCAAGACAAAAU